UGGGGAAUUUUGGACAAUGGGCGAAAGCCUGAUCCAGCAAUGCCGCGUGUGUGAAGAAGGCCUUCGGGUUGUAAAGCACUUUUGUCCGGAAAGAAAUCCUCUGGGUUAAUACCUCGGGGGGAUGACGGUACCGGAAGAAUAAGCACCGGCUAACUACGUGCCAGCAGCCGCGGUAAUACGUAGGGUGCAAGCGUUANNGAAUUACUGGGCGUAAAGCGUGCGCAGGCGGUUUUGUAAGACGGAUGUGAAAUCCCCGGGCUUAACCUGGGAACUGCAUUCGUGACUGCAAGGCUAGAGUAUGGCAGAGGGGGGUAGAAUUCCACGUGUAGCAGUGAAAUGCGUAGAGAUGUGGAGGAAUACCGAUGGCGAAGGCAGCCCCCUGGGCCAAUACUGACGCUCAUGCACGAAAGCGUGGGGAGCAAACAGGAUUAGCAUACCCUGGUAGUCCACGCCCUAAACGAUGUCAACUAGUUGUUGGGGAUUCAUUUCCUUAGUAACGUAGCUAACGCGUGAAGUUGACCGCCUGGGGAGUACGGUCGCAAGAUU
rnacentral:rRNA from 1 species